rnacentral:lncRNA from 1 species
CACAGUUGCCUGGUUAUGUAAUAAAAAGAAAUCCCUCAGUUAUCAUGUGACUGGUUGGUAUCUCCACUGACACCACUGAAGUUCUACUGAUUUCAGCAGAGCUACUCUAGAUUUACCUCAGUGUAAAUGGGAGGAGAAAUGGGCCCAAAUGCUUCAGAAAACACCAGGGUGUCCCUGGAGCUGCACUAGCUGCAGCUCCCUGCACCUCUCACAGAUUAAAAACUCAAAUCUGUGGACAAAUAGCUGCAAAAAGGCUUGGGAGAAACCAGCCUCUGAGCCUCUUCCCUCUCGCAGCAAUAUCCCCAAGGGGAGUCGGCAGCAGCAUCGUGCCUCUUCCCUGCUCCCUAAUCAAAGGCAGGAGCUGAUCUAAACAGGCUGGAUUUGCAAGUGCCUCCUCCCUGAAAGAAUGGAAAUAUCAAAAUUUCCUGAGAAAACAGCAAAUACAAGCCUUCCUACAAUACUCUUUCCCUCCCCAGCUCCUGCUGGGGAGUAACAUGUUCCUGAAGUUCUG